UACGUAGGGUGCGAGCGUUGUCCGGAAUUAUUGGGCGUAAAGGGCUCGUAGGCGGUUUGUCGCGUCGGGAGUGAAAUCCACUGGCUUAACUGGUGGCUUGCUUUCGAUACGGGCAGACUGGAGGUAUGCAGGGGGAGAACGAAUUCCUGGUGUAGCGGUGAAAUGCGCAGAUAUCAGGAGGAACACCGGUGGCGAAGGCGGCCUGCUGGGGUCGAGGCUCUUCGGAGCCUGAGCUGACGCUGAGGCGCGACAGCGUGGGGAGCAAACAGG
rnacentral:rRNA from 1 species